GACGAACGCUGGCGGCGUGCUUAACACAUGCAAGUCGAACGAUGAAGCCUUAGCUUGCUUUGGUGGAUUAGUGGCGAACGGGUGAGUAACACGUGAGCAACGUGCCCAGGACUCUGGAAUAACCGCGGGAAACCGUGGCUAAUACCGGAUAGGUGCCGAGGCCGCAUGGUCUUCGGUUGGAAAGUUUCUGCGGUUCUGGAUCGGCUCACGGCCUAUCAGCUUGUUGGUGGGGUAAUGGCCUACCAAGGCGACGACGGGUAGCCGGCCUGAGAGGGUGACCGGCCACACUGGGACUGAGACACGGCCCAGACUCCUACGGGAGGCAGCAGUGGGGAAUAUUGCACAAUGGGCGCAAGCCUGAUGCAGCAACGCCGCGUGGGGGAUGACGGCCUUCGGGUUGUAAACCUCUUUUAGUAGGGAAGAAGCGCAAGUGACGGUACCUGCAGAAAAAGCACCGGCUAACUACGUG
rnacentral:rRNA from 1 species